GGGAUAACAAGCGAUGGGUAACCGAUAUUUUAUUUCGAAACGGUUACGUGUGCAGCGUUGAAGAAAUACCGUCACGCGUGGCCCGGCGAAACCGGUCCCGCCGCAUAACAUUAUAAUAAUAUCGUCACUGCUCAUCGCGGAGGUAUUUAUCAUUUCGUUUACGGAUCGCACACCCAACCCCGGCUGUGCGUAGCGAUAAUAACGGACGUUAACAAGUUAGCGGAGGUCACGCGUUUACGGGGGUUUUGAACGAUAUCAUUCUCGAAACGGGCAAAAUCUAACGCACAAUCUCCUCGAAGAAACUGUGGCCGAUUGACU